rnacentral:rRNA from 1 species
UACGUAGGUCCCGAGCGUUGUCCGGAUUUAUUGGGCGUAAAGCGAGCGCAGGUGGUUUAUUAAGUCUGGUGUAAAAGGCAGUGGCUCAACCAUUGUAUGCAUUGGAAACUGGUAGACUUGAGUGCAGGAGAGGAGAGUGGAAUUCCAAGUGUAGCGGUGAAAUGCGCAGAUAUAUGGAGGAACACCGGUGGCGAAAGCGGCUCUCUGGCCUGUAACUGACACUGAGGCUCGAAAGCGUGGGGAGCAAACAGG